CUUGGUAAUCCCCGAUAAAUACGUCUCUCGUCUUCUCUCUUUCUCUAUCCCCUCUCUUUCUCUCUCGCCUACUCUCUUCUUUUCUCUCUCGGUUCUUGGCUGAAUUCGAGAAAUUAAUUGAAGAAAAUUCGAAUUCAAGAAGGGGUUUGAAGAAGUGAGGUAUAUGAAACAAAUUUGAGGUUGGAAUUUCAAAUCCCCAAUUCGAAGUAUUGGCAGAAUUAGGGCUGCGUGAAGGAGGCUCUAUCAAGGGGCUAUUAUGAUCAGAUCGCCUCCGGUGGUGGUCGCAUCAGAUGAUUGGCGGUGGUGGCCGGAAUCCGACGAAGAAGACAAGCUGUCUUAGAAUCGGAUUUCAGCUUUUGGUCCUUCGAAGAAUUAAUUGCUCGGAGGCCUUAGAGGUUGAAUAUUGACGAUCAGGACACACGGUUAGAAACCUUGAGAUGUUAGCCUUCCAUUGGUGUUGGAGCUCGGUAGUAUUAAUCAGCGGUGGUUGCCGGAAUUGGGCAAGAAGUUCAGCCCGCUCGCCGGAACCUUGAAGGAAAUAGUAUUUGCUGCCGCACCUGUUUAUGAAGCCGAAAUCGAAGGGUUUGGAGUGAGAAUUUGGGAAUCAUUCCUUCACAAAACUCGUAGAGGACCUCGAAAACUAUUGGUAUCGAGCGUUCUAAGGUUCUCAUUCAAGAGCAUGACUCGAGAGUAAGGUGUUUUUAUAACACUUGCAUUGGACUUCAGCAUUAAAUAGGGACUCCAGUCAAAUGAAGCCGUUGAAGCGACAACCACUGGGACAAGCACGGCCAAGACGGCGGCGGAUGGCCCAUGGUUGCUGGAGCAAAAGAAGAAAGAAGCAGAGGGGACCAAAGGAGAGAACAGAGAUUGUCUAGGGCACAAAACGGGAAAGGAGUACAAGAGGAGAGGGAGAGUCAGCUAGAAUGAACGGCUGAGAUCAAUCUUGAACCAAGGGUUCAGAUUUAAACCUUCUAGCACAUUCCCACUAAUGGGCUUAUUCUGCUUAGGCCGUUCCAAUAGACAAGUGUGUGUGUAUUGAGAUAUUGGGCUAUAGGCUCAAGACACAUUUGUGCCACAACCAUUACAAAUCUCCACCUUGGACCAAAGUGUAUCAUUAGUGAAUUUUAUGAUUUAUUGGAAGUCAUCAUUGUUGUUUUUGAUAUACAUGUAAAACACAAAGUAGUACUAGUAUAUCUUUCUGAUUUCACAUAGACAGUCAGAAGAAAUUGUCACAAAGACAAAGCACAUUGCAGAAAAACAUGCACACAAUCAGUCACACAGACAGCACACAGUCAGUCACACAAACUGUAGAAAUAGCACACAACAUUUUAAUCUUGGGAAAUUAGGUUCAAGUUUUUCAAACAAGAACGAAAUUUCUCAACUGGUAAGCAGGGUUGAACUCUGAGGGAAUUUUUUCAAGGUCAAUAAUCCCUUCUUCCACAAUUCUCCUAAUAAAGUGAAAUUUGAUC